CAGCCGCCACGGUAAAACGUAGGUGGCAAGCGUUGUCCGGAAUUAUUGGGCGUAAAGGGCUCGCAGGCGGUUUCUUAAGUCUGAUGUGAAAGCCCCCGGCUCAACCGGGGAGGGUCAUUGGAAACUGGGAAACUUGAGUGCAGAAGAGGAGAGUGGAAUCCCACGUGUAGCGGUGAAAUGCGUAGAGAUGUGGAGGAACACCAGUGGCGAAGGCGACUCUCUGGUCUGUAACUGACGCUGAGGAGCGAAAGCGUGGGGAGCGAACAGGAUUAGAUACCCCCGUAGUCCCUGUCUCUUAUAA
rnacentral:rRNA from 1 species